rnacentral:rRNA from 1 species
AGACCCGAAACCCGGUGAUCUAGCCAUGGGCAGGUUGAAGGUUGGGUAACACUAACUGGAGGACCGAACCGACUAAUGUUGAAAAAUUAGCGGAUGACCUGUGGCUGGGGGUGAAAGGCCAAUCAAACCGGGAGAUAGCUGGUUCUCCCCGAAAGCUAUUUAGGUAGCGCCUCGUGAAUUCAUCUCCGGGGGUAGAGCACUGUUUCGGCUAGGGGGCCAUCCCGGCUUACCAACCCGAUGCAAACUGCGAAUACCGGAGAAUGUUAUCACGGGAGACACACGGCGGGUGCUAACGUCCGUCGUGAAGAGGGAAACAACCCAGACCGCCAGCUAAGGUCCCAAAGUCAUGGUUAAGUGGGAAACGAUGUGGGAAGGCCCAGACAGCCAGGAUGUUGGCUUAGAAGCAGCCAUCAUUUAAAGAAAGCGUAAUAGCUCACUGGUCGAGUCGGCCUGCGCGGAAGAUGUAACGGGGCUAAACCAUGCACCGAAGCUGCGGCAGCGAACGUAUCACCCAAGACAACUUUACGGAGUUGACGAUUGACGGAGCGAAGCGACGUCAAAGCGUUCAUUAAAGUCGAGUUGGCUUAGGGAUACGUUCGUUGGGUAGGGGAGCGUUCUGUAAGCCUGUGAAGGUGUGUCGUGAGGCAUGCUGGAGGUAUCAGAAGUGCGAAUGCUGACAUAAGUAACGAUAAAGCGGGUGAAAAGCCCGCUCGCCGGAAGACCAAGGGUUCCUGUCCAACGUUAAUCGGGGCAGGGUGAGUCGACCCCUAAGGCGAGGCCGAAAGGCGUAGUCGAUGGGAAACGGGUUAAUAUUCCCGUACUUGGUGUUACUGCGAAGGGGGGACGGAGAAGGCUAUGUUGGCCGGGCGACGGUUGUCCCGGUUUAAGCGUGUAGGUGUGUGUUCCAGGUAAAUCCGGUUCACUUUAACACUGAGGCGUGAUGACGAGGCACUACGGUGCUGAAGCAACAAAUGCCCUGCUUCCAGGAAAAGCCUCUAAGCAUCAGGUAACAUCAAAUCGUACCCCAAACCGACACAGGUGGUCAGGUAGAGAAUACCAAGGCGCUUGAGAGAACUCGGGUGAAGGAACUAGGCAAAAUGGUGCCGUAACUUCGGGAGAAGGCACGCU